rnacentral:rRNA from 1 species
AACGAACGCUGGCGGCAGGCCUAACACAUGCAAGUCGAACGGGUGUAGCAAUACUUCAGUGGCGCACGGGGGAGUAACACGUGGGAACGUGCCCUUCACUACGGGACAACGUGGGGAAACUGACGCUAAUACCGUAUAAUGUCUCCGGACCAAAGAUUUAUCGGUGAAGGAUCGGCCCGCGUCUGAUUAGCUAGUUGGUGAGGUAAUGGCGCACCAAGGCGACGAUCAGUAGCUGGUUUGAGAGAAUGAUCAGCCACACUGGGACUGAGACACGGCCCAGACUCCUACGGGAGGCAGCAGUGAGGAAUCUUGGACAAUGGGCGCAAGCCUGAUCCAGCCAUGCCGCGUGAGUGAUGAAGGCCUUAGGGUUGUAAAGCUCUUUUGCCGGGGAUGAUAAUGACCGUACCCGGAGAAUAAGCCACGGCUAAAUUCGUGCCAGCCGCCGCAGUAA